GUAGGUGGCAAGCGUUGUCCGGAAUUAUUGGGCGUAAAGCGCGCGCAGGCGGUCCUUUAAGUCUGAUGUGAAAGCCCACGGCUCAACCGUGGAGGGUCAUUGGAAACUGGGGGACUUGAGUACAGAAGAGGAAAGCGGAAUUCCAAGUGUAGCGGUGAAAUGCGUAGAGAUUUGGAGGAACACCAGUGGCGAAGGCGGCUUUCUGGUCUGUAACUGACGCUGAGGCGCGAAAGAGUGGGGAGCAAACAGGAUUAGAUACCCUGGUAGUCCACGCCGUAAACGAUGAGUGCUAAGUGUUAGGGGGUUUCCCGCCCCCUUAGUGCUGCAGCUAACGCAUUAAGCACUCCGCCUGGGGAGUACGGCCGCAAGGCUG
rnacentral:rRNA from 1 species